AUCAAGGGAAGCUUGGAUUUCGGGGAGGCAACGACUUCAUUCAUGUUGUGCUUAUUCCUGGGGAAGGUCUGAGGAUGCCCGAUUGCUCUGUAGGACAGAGGUUGGCGUAAGCCAACAUAGUGGGAUAGAAAAACCACCAGGUCAUUUCUGUGGCCGUAUGGUGUUGGAAACCGACUGAGGGCUUUUAACUAGCAGUUCAAUACCCAAGCGUCUCGUACGAACUCAAUUCAGACUACUCUUCUUUGAU
rnacentral:RNase_P_RNA from 2 species